CCUACGGGUGGCAGCAGUGGGGAAUAUUGGGCAAUGGGCGCAAGCCUGACCCAGCAACGCCGCGUGAAGGAAGAAGGCUUUCGGGUUGUAAACUUCUUUUAUCAGGGACGAAGCAAGUGACGGUACCUGAUGAAUAAGCCACGGCUAACUACGUGCCAGCAGCCGCGGCAAUACGUAGGUGGCAAGCGUUAUCCGGAUUUACUGGGUGUAAAGGGAGUGUAGGCGGGAGUGCAAGUCAGAUGUGAAAACUAUGGGCUCAACCCAUAGCCUGCAUUUGAAACUGUACUUCUUGAGUGCUGGGGAGGCAAUCGGAAUUCCGUGUGUAGCGGUGAAAUGCGUAGAUAUACGGAGGAACACCAGUGGCGAAGGCGGAUUGCUGGACAGUAACUGACGCUGAGGCGCGAAAGCGUGGGGAGCAAACAGGAUUAGAUACCCCAGUAGUC
rnacentral:rRNA from 1 species